UUACGGCUAUAUCAUGUUGAAACACCAGUGCUCAUACAAUCACCGAAGUUAAGCAACGUCGAACCUGGUCAGCAGCUAGAUGGGUGACCACUUGAGAAUACCAGGUGCUGUAA